GACGAACGCUGGCGGCGUGCCUAAUACAUGCAAGUAGAACGCUGAAGAGAGGAGCUUGCUCUUCUUGGAUGAGUUGCGAACGGGUGAGUAACGCGUAGGUAACCUGCCUUGUAGCGGGGGAUAACUAUUGGAAACGAUAGCUAAUACCGCAUAACAAUGGAUGACACAUGUCAUUUAUUUGAAAGGGGCAAUUGCUCCACUACAAGAUGGACCUGCGUUGUAUUAGCUAGUAGGUGAGGUAAUGGCCCACCUAGGCGACGAUACAUAGCCGACCUGAGAGGGUGAUCGGCCACACUGGGACUGAGACACGGCCCAGACUCCUACGGGAGGCAGCAGUAGGGAAUCUUCGGCAAUGGGGGCAACCCUGACCGAGCAACGCCGCGUGAGUGAAGAAGGUUUUCGGAUCGUAAAGCUCUGUUGUAAGUCAAGAACGGGUGUGAGAGUGGAAAGUUCACACUGUGACGGUAGCUUACCAGAAAGAGACGGCUAACUACGUG
rnacentral:rRNA from 1 species